rnacentral:lncRNA from 1 species
UCUUCUUCUUCUUCUUCUUCUUCUUCUUCUUCUUCUUCUUCUUCUUCUUCUUCUUCUUCUUCUUCUUCUCCUUCAUAUUAAUAUAAAAUAAUUUUACAGAUAAUAAUAAUAAUUUCAAUUAGAACAAAUGUAAAUCCCAGUAUCUUUCUGCUAGGCUUCACCCUGCUGAGACUGGCUCUCAGCAGCUUUGAUUAAGCAGAAAAUAUUCUGCAGUGAGAGGCUCAAAACCAUUUCAAUGGCCCCCAGGUGGCACAAGGCACAUCCAUCUCCUGCAGCAUCUGCUGAAGUUGCCUUCCAAAGGUCUACAGCCCUGCCAGUGCCUCAGUGGUCAAAGAGCUGAGACACCAACAGGGCUCUUUGCUGGUGUUCGCAGCCCCAACACACCAUUCCCGACAUCUUCAUCUGGAUGAUGAGCAACAACAAACGCAUUGCCUACGCCCGCGUCCCUUCCAAGGACAUCCUCUACUCCAUCGUGGACGAGGAGAUGGGCAAGGACUGCGCCAAAGUGAAGACCGUCUUCCUCAAGGUGCCUGCCCGUCUUCCCUGGGGAACAUCAGCCAGGAGGAGGGAGAUGGAGAGGGGGCAAACUGGGAGGAUGGGAGAUGGAGAAGGAGCAAACUGGGAGGAUGGGAGAUGGAGAAGGGGCAAACUGGGAGGAUGGGAGAUGGAGAUGAGGGAGCUGGGUAUCCGUUUUUGCUGGUGAUUGAAUACUAGGCACAACAGAUCCAUUAGUGAUGGUGGAAAUGUGCUGCUAGGAUGUGUAAACCACUGGUUUUACAUAGUCUGGUGGGUGAGAAAUGUCUGUAAGGAGAGAGAUGUUCGAUCCAGCUGGCCAGGAAAGGGAAAUUUGUCUUGGAAAGAGGAAGCCAACGUGGUAGGAAGAAGAUAAAACAUGAGACAGAGUAGUGGGCAUGAUCCCAAUUGAUGAGGGCUACAUCCCUGGGUGUAAGUGGGGUACUCCCCACUGGAAGGGGAGUACAGCAAGAGGUGGUCCGUCCAACUUUAUGGCCUCCCUUAUUUCCACCUAAACUCCUCUGCCCUUUAUGCCCAGCUACCUGGGAAGAGGGGUUUUGGACCUGCCGGCUGGACGGUUCAGGCCAAGAUGGAGAUUUACUUGUGGCUGGGCCUCAACAAGCAGCGCAAAGACUUCCUGAGCGGCCUGCCCUGUGGCUUCGAGGAGAAGAAGAUCGCCAGAGGCCAAAACCUGCCGUCCUUCCCACCCAUCAGCCUCCUUUACACCAAGAAGCAGGUUUUCCAGCUGCGAGCCCACAUGUACCAGGCCAGGAGUUUGUUUGCUGCCGACAGCAGCGGCCUUUCGGACCCCUUUGCCCGAGUCUUCUUCACCUCCCAGAGCCAAUGCACCGAGGUGAGCACCGUCUCCUGACCUGGAGGGCUGCAAGUGGGAAUAAUUCGUGGCUGCUUUCCUGUUCUUGUGGCUUUUUGUUUCUGGGAAGAGUCCCUGGGAGAUGCCCCAUGGCUUGCUGACCCCAAAAAAACAUUCAUGCAGCCAGGUGCUGGAGCUGCAGCCUGAGAUGUGGCUGAGACAGGACAGGGCUGUGCUUAUUCUCCUAAACCCAUCCCCAUGGCUUACCCUGGUGCAGGAGAGCUGAGACCAACA